rnacentral:rRNA from 1 species
CGUGCUUAACACAUGCAAGUCGAACGAUGAAGCCCUUCGGGGUGGAUUAGUGGCGAACGGGUGAGUAACACGUGGGCAAUCUGCCCUUCACUCUGGGACAAGCCCUGGAAACGGGGUCUAAUACCGGAUACCACUCCUGCCCGCAUGGGCGGGGGUUGAAAGCUCCGGCGGUGAAGGAUGAGCCCGCGGCCUAUCAGCUUGUUGGUGGGGUAAUGGCCCACCAAGGCGACGACGGGUAGCCGGCCUGAGAGGGCGACCGGCCACACUGGGACUGAGACACGGCCCAGACUCCUACGGGAGGCAGCAGUGGGGAAUAUUGCACAAUGGGCGAAAGCCUGAUGCAGCGACGCCGCGUGAGGGAUGACGGCCUUCGGGUUGUAAACCUCUUUCAGCAGGGAAGAAGCGAAAGUGACGGUACCUGCAGAAGAAGCGCCGGCUAACUACGUGCCAGCAGCCGCGGUAAUACGUAGGGCGCAAGCGUUGUCCGGAAUUAUUGGGCGUAAAGAGCUCGUAGGCGGCUUGUCACGUCGGAUGUGAAAGCCCGAGGCUUAACCUCGGGUCUGCAUUCGAUACGGGCUAGCUAGAGUGUGGUAGGGGAGAUCGGAAUUCCUGGUGUAGCGGUGAAAUGCGCAGAUAUCAGGAGGAACACCGGUGGCGAAGGCGGAUCUCUGGGCCAUUACUGACGCUGAGGAGCGAAAGCGUGGGGAGCGAACAGGAUUAGAUACCCUGGUAGUCCACGCCGUAAACGUUGGGAACUAGGUGU